GACGAACGCUGGCGGCGUGCCUAAUACAUGCAAGUAGAACGCACAGUUUAUACCGUAGCUUGCUACACCAUACACUGUGAGUUGCGAACGGGUGAGUAACGCGUAGGUAACCUGCCUGGUAGCGGGGGAUAACUAUUGGAAACGAUAGCUAAUACCGCAUAAUAUUGAUUAUUGCAUGAUAAUUGAUUGAAAGAUGCUAUUGCAUCACUACCAGAUGGACCUGCGUUGUAUUAGCUAGUAGGUGAGGUAACGGCUCACCUAGGCGACGAUACAUAGCCGACCUGAGAGGGUGAUCGGCCACACUGGGACUGAGACACGGCCCAGACUCCUACGGGAGGCAGCAGUAGGGAAUCUUCGGCAAUGGACGAAAGUCUGACCGAGCAACGCCGCGUGAGUGAAGAAGGGUUUCGGAUCGUAAAGCUCUGUUGUAAGAGAAGAACGGGUGUGAGGGUGGAAAGUUCACACUGUGACGGUAUCUUACCAGAAAGGGACGGCUAACUACGUG
rnacentral:rRNA from 1 species